rnacentral:rRNA from 1 species
GAUGAACGCUGACAGAAUGCUUAACACAUGCAAGUCGACUUGAAGCAACUUCGGUUGUGGAAAGUGGCGGACGGGUGAGUAACGCGUAAAGAACUUGCCCUUCAGUCUGGGACAACCAUUGGAAACGAUGGCUAAUACCGGAUAUUAUGGAACUCUCGCAUGGGAGGAUCAUGAAAGCUAUAUGCGCUGAAGGAGAGCUUUGCGUUCCAUUAGCUAGUUGGUGAGGUAACGGCUCACCAAGGCGACGAUGGAUAGCCGGCCUGAGAGGGUGAUCGGCCACAAGGGGACUGAGACACGGCCCUUACUCCUACGGGAGGCAGCAGUGGGGAAUAUUGGACAAUGGACCAAAAGUCUGAUCCAGCAAUUCUGUGUGCACGAUGAAGGUUUUCGGAUCGUAAAGUGCUUUUCAGUUGGGAAGAAGAAAGUGACGGUACCAACAGAAGAAGCGACGGCUAAAUACGU